CCGAGCAAAGAAAAAUAAAGAUCGCCAUAUGAAUCCAAAGGACACAAAUGGCGAUCUUUACUUCCAAAUAUCUCGGAAACGUGACAAUUUACGAUACCAUGUUAUUUACCAUUUUUUGU